CUGACUGCUUCUACACAGAACACUCACCUAACCAGAGCCUGGACUGACUAACACUUGUCUUCAGUGGUUAUUUACACCCAUCUACUCUCUAGCCAUGUGUUUCAUUCUCUACAGUGUCUUUGUUCAGUUGACUUGGAGAGCCGACACAAAAGAAGAAGCUAGAUGGACGGACAUCGACCCUAUGUCUGAAAGUCAAGCCAAAAUAUCAGCACUCUGGUGAAAAUGGCUCUGCUGAUGAUGAUGGGGACGCUAUCCCUGGCAUCUAGCUGCUCUCCUGCCUGUCUGUGUGCAUGUUUGUGUGUGUGACUAAAAGAGGUAGCUGUACAUCUGAACCACAGCACAAAAUGUGAGAUGAAAAAGGCCCCUUUGGUUCUGGGAUUCAAAUUGUAAGAGAUAUGGAGCACUAAAUGCAAGACAGCGUACUCUAAAAGGAUACUGUUGAAGCCGUAUCGACUCUCAGUUCAUGCUGCUUAUCAUAGCACAUCAUAUUAUGUUGGACUAGAAGAUCACUCAGUGUGUGUGUGUUUUCAUAUGUGUAUCUGAGUGCAAGUGCCAAACUAACCAACUGUAAAGUGAAGCAAAGGCAGGGUGCAUGUGUACAUGAGUGUGUAUCAUACAAAAUAAGCACAAUAUGUUGUCAUUGCUUACAGACAUCAACAUGCAUAUUGCACAUGGCACAGCAAUAACAGCAAGAACACAAGCAGUGUGCACAUAAUGAAAGUGACUGCAGCUCUCCCCCACACACUCACACACACAUACACGCACACACACAUAAUACAAAAGUGUAGAUGGAAUUCAGUGUAAACUUAACUUAUAGUAAACUUAUAACAGUGCAGAUGUUACUGAAGAGUCAAAGUUAAGUCAAAAGUCACUGAAGCUUGAAACAAUCUAUGUUUAAUCUGGGAAUAAGACAAAUAGACCAAAUACAAAUACACAAAAUGGUGCCAAGAAUGUAAAUGUAUUCAACUGUUUUAGGGUAGCUUGGUAUUGUGUGUUCAAGGAAACUUUAAAAGCGCUGUAGUAAUGAUGAAUGAUGUAUUGCUGAGUCUACGCAUCUGUCAAAAUAAUGGAUGGAGUCACUGAGAGAUCCACUGUAUAUUAAAAGCAGACAGAGUACAUAUUUCUGCCAUGGUUUAAGUCUACUCUGUUACUGUGGUGGCAGUCAGUUUACCCAAACCCAUUCUGAGUGCUUUAAUGCACAGAAAGAUCCGGUAGAUGCUUGUGUUCUUGGUCCCUGUUAGACAGCCUCACUUGUCCUCACUCUGACCUAUCCUAUUCAUUAAUUAACUCAUUCAUUUGUUUAUCCAUCCAUUCAUUAAUUCAUCAAGCCAUCUAUCAAUCUGUACAGCCUGUACUUUUCCAGUGCCAGCAAACAGACAAAUCUUGGUUGAGGGCAGAAGUAGAGAGGCUGUCAUUAUUGCAGUUGCAUUUUCAUGCAUGCAGUAACACUAUAACAUAUGUAAAGAGACUUUUACUUUCAAACCAAUUCAAUAUGUUGAGGAUCACCUGUAGAGACUGUUAUAUAGUCAUUGAAUGUCUUUGAAAUAAAGAUUAUAAUCUAAAACACUUCAUCCCCACUGAAUCCUUACAUUUGCAUUCUGAGCGGCCUGCGAACAACAGGCUGAGCAGGGACUGCCAAACACCUGUGCAUCUGAUUGUUGAUACAAUCAUCAUGAGCUAGAAGUUAGCUAAUGCCAGGGUGUUUCACAGCCUCCUGUAAAAAAAUGUUAGUAAGAAAAACAUUUUAAAGCCUGUGUUGUAUUUCAGGGGAAUAUUUGUCUUAAUACUGAAAAACAUUCACACAGACCACAGGGCAACUGCUGACUGUGAUUAAUCCAAACAGUUCUCCUCUCACUGUCAUUGACAAUUAGCUCUGUUCAACUCUGCCACUGCAAUAAUUAGUCUGUGGUCAAAUCACAUUUUCACCACUAAAACUUGGUAAUUUAAUUUUCUUUUUACGUGUUGUAUAAUUCACAAAAUUCCUCAAACUACAUGUACAUGUGAUGUGUGUUUUCUUUAUAUGA